rnacentral:rRNA from 1 species
GCAAGUCGAGCGGAGGUGAGGUGCUUGCACCUUAUCUUAGCGGCGGACGGGUGAGUAAUACUUAGGAAUCUGGCUAUUAGUGGGGGACAACAUUUCGAAAGGGAUGCUAAUACCGCAUACGUCCUACGGGAGAAAGCAGGGGAUCUUCGGACCUUGCGCUAAUAGAUGAGCCUAAGUCGGAUUAGCUAGUUGGUGGGGUAAAGGCCUACCAAGGCGACGAUCUGUAGCGGGUCUGAGAGGAUGAUC